rnacentral:tRNA from 1 species
UCCCCGGUAGCUCAGUUGGUAGAGCGUCUGACUGUUAAUCAGAAUGUCCGUGGUUCGAGUCCGCGCCGGGGAGCCA